ensembl:lncRNA
AUGAAGACGACAAAUACCACCCUCCUCCAGGGAGUCCAAGCUCCUCUUCUUCCUGCAGUAAUGUCUCAAUCUGCUCAGGCCUUUCACCUCAAUCUGGUUUACCGAGAGGAUGGAGUCGCACAGAAGAAGUCCAUCACUAAACCCCCUGGGAAGAGGCGCAUGAAAAAGCGCACUGAUGGACCUUUUGAGAAGACUGAUUUCUCCUGUCUGCUCACUAGUCACUCUGGUCAGUCCCGGUCUAGUCCUGUCAUAUCUGCUCUGUUCUCUGCCCAGUUUACCUGUGCCUGCAGUGCAACCCUCUCUGGUCCCGGAUGUCUACAGGUUUUGGACUCAUGCCUCAAGGUUUCUGCGCUUGCAUCUCUCCUCUGGAUUUGUUGAUCUUUCCUGGACUUAUUCUGGUUACCAAUCUUUUCACCUGGCCUUUGACUAUGCUCACCUGUCAGCCAUGUACAGAGCCAAUUUUGUUCAAUAAAUGUUGAAUUAUAUAACCUUGUAUGUCA